UGAGGAAUAUUGGUCAAUGGGCGAGAGCCUGAACCAGCCACGUCGCGUGAAGGAAGACUGACCUUACGGUUUGUAAACUUCUUUUGUAGAGGGGUAAUGGCAGAUACGUGUAUUUGCGUGAAAGUACUCUACGAAUAAGCAUCGGCUAACUCCGUGCCAGCAGCCGCGGUAAUACGGGGGAUGCGAGCGUUAUCCGGAAUUAUUGGGUUUAAAGUGUGCGCAGGUGGCUAAUCAGGUCAGUGGUGAAAAGCUAUGGCUCAACCAUGGUCUUGCCAUUGAAACCGUAUAGCUAGAGAGGAGACGAGGUAGGCGGAAUGUGUGGUGUAGCGGUGAAAUGCAUAGAUAUCACACAGAACUCCGAUUGCGAAGGCAGCUUACCAGGCUUUAUCUGACACUUAGGCACGACAGCGUGGGGAUCAAACAGG
rnacentral:rRNA from 1 species